GCUAGUGUAGCACAGGGGUAGUGCAGCUGAUUCGUAAUCAGCAGGUCGUGAGUUCGAAUCUCUCCACUAGCUCCA
rnacentral:tRNA from 1 species